GCUGGGAUAGCUCAGUCGGUAGAGCAUGAGACUCUUAGUCUCAGGGUUGUGAGUUCACACCCCAUGUUGGGCA